rnacentral:rRNA from 1 species
AACGAACGCUGGCGGCAUGCCUAACACAUGCAGGUCGAACGAGACCUUCGGGUCUAGUGGCGCACGGGUGCGUAACGCGUGGGAACCUGCCCUUAGGUUCGGAAUAACUCCCCGAAAGGGGUGCUAAUACCGGAUAAUGUCUUCGGACCAAAGAUUUAUCGCCUUUGGAUGGGCCCGCGUUGGAUUAGCUGGUUGGUAGGGUAAAAGCCUACCAAGGCGACGAUCCAUAGCUGGUCUGAGAGGAUGAUCAGCCACACUGGGACUGAGACACGGCCCAGACUCCUACGGGAGGCAGCAGUGGGGAAUAUUGGACAAUGGGCGAAAGCCUGAUCCAGCAAUGCCGCGUGAGUGAUGAAGUCCUUAGGGUUGUAAAGCUCUUUUACCCGGGAUGAUAAUGACAGUACCGGGAGAAUAAGCUCCGGCUAACUCCGUG